UACGAAGGGGGCUAGCGUUGUUCGGAAUCACUGGGCGUAAAGCGCACGUAGGCGGAUUGUUAAGUCGGGGGUGAAAUCCUGAGGCUCAACCUCAGAACUGCCUUCGAUACUGGCGAUCUUGAGUCCGGAAGAGGUUGGUGGAACAGCUAGUGUAGAGGUGAAAUUCGUAGAUAUUCGCAAGAACACCAGUGGCGAAGGCGGCUCACUGGCCCGGUACUGACGCUGAGGUGCGAAAGCGUGGGGAGCAAACAGG
rnacentral:rRNA from 1 species